rnacentral:rRNA from 1 species
GGUGCGUAGGCGGGUCUUUAAGUCAGGGGUGAAAUCCUGGAGCUCAACUCCAGAACUGCCUUUGAUACUGAAGAUCUUGAGUUCGGGAGAGGUGAGUGGAACUGCGAGUGUAGAGGUGAAAUUCGUAGAUAUUCGCAAGAACACCAGUGGCGAAGGCGGCUCACUGGCCCGAUACUGACGCUGAGGCACGAAAGCGUGGGGAGCAAACAGGAUUAGAUACCCUGGUAGUCCACGCCGUAAACGACGAAUGCCAGCCGUUAGUGGGUUUACUCACUAGUGGCGCAGCUAACGCUUUAAGCAUUCCGCCUGGGGAGUACGGUCGCAAGAUUAAAACUCAAAGGAAUUGA